GACGAACGCUGGCGGCGUGCUUAACACAUGCAAGUCGAACGGAAAGGCCCUGCUUUUGUGGGGUGCUCGAGUGGCGAACGGGUGAGUAACACGUGAGUAACCUGCCCUUGACUUUGGGAUAACUUCAGGAAACUGGGGCUAAUACCGGAUAGGAGCUCCCGUUGCAUGGUGGGGGUUGGAAAGUUUCGGCGGUUGGGGAUGGACUCGCGGCUUAUCAGCUUGUUGGUGGGGUAGUGGCUUACCAAGGCUUUGACGGGUAGCCGGCCUGAGAGGGUGACCGGCCACAUUGGGACUGAGAUACGGCCCAGACUCCUACGGGAGGCAGCAGUGGGAAAUAUUGCACAAUGGGCGGAAGCCUGAUGCAGCAACGCCGCGUGCGGGAUGACGGCCUUCGGGUUGUGAACCGCUUUCGCCUGUGACGAAGCGUGAGUGACGGUAAUGGGUAAAGAAGCACCGGCUAACUACGUG
rnacentral:rRNA from 1 species